UAUUAUAUUAUAUAUAAAAUAAACACACACACACAUUGGAGUUUUUUUUUUUUUUUUUUUAUAGCAUUGUGAAUCUCUUCUCUAAAUUAGCUUUUAAGUACUAGUGAUGAAAUGUAUAUUUGUUGUUAGGUCAGUAUCCUCUUAUUACUGUACUAGCCUGAAGUUUGGUUUUGAUACAGUGGAUCAGUAUUUCAGAAUGUGUACAGAAUUACAUGCCAUCUAUACAUAUUUAAUAAAUGCAUAAUUUAUUUCCUUCAUUGACAUUUUUUUUAACAAAUUGGCUGUACAUCAUAUAAUCCCAGCUGAUAAAUGCAUUUUUUUUUAUGUAUAUAAUCUUUAGCACGCUUAUUUGGAAUGAGAUUUGGGGUCCUGGGGUAAGGUGGUGUUACAACUGCAUGUUGCCUUUUUGUGUAUUUCCAAAUUUACUUUAAAAUGCUAGUAUUUCUCUUUGCAAGAAUUGGCCAUCUGGACUAAUGCAGGUGAAAAUUUUCAACAUUUUUGUCAAAGAAAUAAGCGGAUGCAUAUUAAGAAAUUUUACUUGCAGUCUUGAACUCCUAAUUGUUAUUCUCUUGCAGUCUCGGAUAUUUUGACUUGUAGGAUGCAUAGUUAAGAGUUUGGGGUUAUAUAAUUUGUAAUUAAAACAGUCUCAUGUCAAGAAAGAGCUAACUGAAGUGAAUUUGUAACCUAUUCUUUUGCUGUAUUGUACUCCCAGAUAUGAUCAUGCACUCAAGGAUCUUCAUGAAGGCCGCCUAAGCUUGGGCAAAUAAAAAAAAAUCAGUUAAUACAAAAAGUAAUAUAAUACACUAAAAAUUUGCUUAAUAGUGCUUUCAUGUCAUGUACUUAUCUAUAAGCAUUAGUUUAUAUUUUUCUAUGUUAAGAGAAAUAUUAAAAUAAACUAUUUGUACAUUUUUAUAAAGAGUUUAAAUAGAAAUAUAGUUCACAGAAGUAACUUAGACAGGCAGCUCAUUAUCUUAGUUACUCCCAUUAAAUUUUAUUAGGUGUAGAGUUGAGGCUCUCAGAUUGCAUAUCUUGUACAUUAGGGCGAGAAAACCAACCUCGAUAGAAUUAUCUAAAUGCAGUUGAGGUAAUACAGAUGGGUGAUAUAAUGGGUCAGUAGUGAUACAUCACUUGAGAUUAGCUAUAGUAGACAUAAUCAUUUGAAAUAGGAAGUACAGAUGAUGAGCAAGGAAGUAUUCUUCACUUGCCUUUAACCCUUUCAGUGGCCAUCACUUAGAACUACGUCAUUGACGCCAAGGUCCCUCGUGUAGUUCUACGUUAUGAGCACAGCUCGCUCAGCUAAGAUGAGUGGUAAAUUUUGGCCUAGAUACGAGAGAAUGAGUCUGUAUAGCGAGUGUGUACAGUAUAAAAAAAAAAAAAAAAAACCUGCCCAAUGCAUUACAUGGGGAAAAGCAAAACACUGAUGUUUGGUUUACAAUAGUGAAUUUGAGUUGCUUUCUAGGGUUUUAUUGCUGUAUAGCCCUUGUGGCUUAGGGCUUCUUUUUGAUAAUAAUAAUAAUAAUAAUAGGGUUUUAUUGGCUAUAUCUUGGUAUCAUUUGAUAAAAUGGAAGACAUAAUACUGAAAGAAAUAAUUUUGGUUGGUUCAGGACCAGAAGUAGCUUGAAAUCGGGCUCAAAAUAGUGGAAAUAUUUAUUUUUUACCGAUUUUCCUAAUAAAGGGUCAGGCCCCUCCUGCACCUCCCAGUCUGUUUUGUCAGCUUUUAAUAGCUCUUGAUUAAAUUAUUAGAGCCAUAAUCCACGACAAAUCAUUCCUGAUUAUAUUUUAUUAUCCAGGAAAUGGAGUAAAUAUUUUUGUGUGAUUAUGAAUUCAAAAUGGAAGGCAAGUGUAAUAGAGGAGGGGCCUGAGGAUGUGAUAAAUGAACAGAGCAAAUGGUUUAGUGCCAGGAAUGUCUUUAUGGUUUAUUUUGCACAUUUUUAAAUAGGUGUUUUUUGAAAUUUGUGUAAAAUUGGCCAAAUUACCGACUUCUGUGCACUUUAUAAGGUAGUUGUAAUAGUGGAAUUGGUUGUAUCUUGUGCUCAUUCGAUAGAAGAGAAAGCACACUUGCAAAAUAGCUAAGAAUUUAGUAGAGUGGAGCAGCGGAAUCGACUUAAUAUAGGAUUUAAAGAUGGCAAAAUUGCUAUUGCAUAAUAACUCUGCGCCUGCAUAAUUCCAUGAGUUUUCCAUCAGAUUUCGUAUUUUUGGUGUUAUUACCUUCAGAAAAAGAUUUACCAUUUCAAAAGAACUUUUUUUUUAAGUGGACACUGGUAGCAAUAUUAAUUUUGGGGGUCUAGACAGUGAAAGGGUUAACAUGAUGGUAGAUUGUACAGAUUGCUUAUUUUGUAUGCAGGCUUGCCAUAUAAAAGAAAAACUGAUAUGGCACAAGGCCGAAUUACAGUGUAGUUACCCAGUGAUUACUGUCCUACUUAUAUUAGUGAAAGCCUUAUUUUGAAAUUCAAAUGGUUUGCAAAACUGGUGGGCAUUAGUGUUAUCCACUAUAUUAUUUUCUCGUGGCAUAAAUAAUUUCAUUUUGAAAUAGUAAAAAAAAAAAGAAAAGGUGUACGUACAUGAAAAAGUUGUGACCAACAUUUCAUACUCAUAAAUUGUUUAAAUUUUACAGAAGUGUAAGGUUAUUUUUCCAGUUGAACUUUUUACUGAAUUGAAUACUUUCUCAUACCACUUAAAAAGAAAAAAAAAAUAAAGCUGCACGUGUUGCUCUCUGAACAUGGUAACAUCACGAUCAUGAAUUUGACGAUAGUAUAUUACACUGCCCCUUACUUUUACGAUUACUGAGAACAUUCCAAGAACAUUUUGUAUUUUAGUGAUAUUAAUAAUGUUAUAUAUUUAUGCUGAUACAAGUAUCUUCAUAAUUUAAGAAGUGUUCUUUGUAAACAUUGCAAAUUUUGGCCCAUAUUUGUCUUAGGCCGGCAAAUAUUACCUGAAAAAUAAAUUUUAGGGAUAUGUUUAAGUUGUUGCUGACUUACAUAGUUUACUAGUAAAUUGUGUUUUAAAUGUUUAUGCCAGAUAGUAUAAUUUUUGUGGUAGCUUCAUGUUUUAAGUUGUACUUAGAACCAUAUUUUGGCAUUAAUAGCCUAGUCUAAAUGGGUUAUGGAAUUUUGUUUUCCCUGGAACUCUAGCCUUACGAAAUGUGUUUCAAGUACAGUAUGAGUGUUUUUUCGUUCCAGAACAUUUGGCAUUUAUGGCUUGACUAAGGAUGUAAAUUUUCUUACAUGCAUACCAGCUAUGGAUGUGUUCUAGUUUGGUCUUAAGGACACCUGUCUUCAGUGUAUUACCUUUUGCUUGUCAGAAUUGUUUAGUCAAGCUUGAUAAGUGACAUUUACUUUUAAUUUCCUUACCCAGAGGAUAUAUUAUUUAUGCUAUGUUUUGAUCUUAAAUGCUGCUAUUUUGGAUCUCAAAUUUAUUUUAUAUAAUAGCCUCUUAUACUGCUGUCUUGAGCAUUUGUUGCCUUCCAUUUCUACCAGGUCAAUAAACUUAACAUCUAU